AUAAGAAACGGAAUAACAUAGAGUUAAAAAAAAAAGGAAAGAAAUUUAAAAUCAGAGAUUAGCAAAGGAGGAGUAAUGUGAGAGAAGAAGCCUACAAUUAGGAAGUGAAGUCAAUUUAUUAGAGCUAUAAUUCAUGAUUAAAUCACCCAAUGGAUUGUGCAUGUCUAGAGGAAAAAUGCUCCAGAUAAAUUGACUAACACAUAUGAACAUCAACUCUAGAAAAGAGCCGCACGCCAUCCAUAUGAACAAACAAGGAGAGAGAUUAGAAAACGCAAGAGUUCAGGCAAAUGGGAGGAAAACUAUGCAAUUCCAAAAACGAUCUAGAUGUACAAAAGAACUGCUUUACCUGGCGACAAUCACCCAAGCUUAGCAUAUCCAUCGUAUUUGCGAAAAGCAGCAUCUGAAGUAGCUGCCGCUUCUGGAUAAGCAGGAGGGGGAAACUCGGAGGAUGUUUCGUAAGCUGGAACGGUAGGAGGUUCGGUGGGAGGAGGACGAUAAGCUUGGGACAUGGGGGGCAUCGGAUUAUGUAUUGUUGAGUUAUAACGGGCUUCAGGUUCGGCUGUAUAAGGGGGAGGAGCAGUGAGAGGAUAAAAAUUGGUGAAUGGAAUAGUAGCUUGUCCUUUUUUAGUACGACGACGAUUAAUGAUACCGAUGAUAAAGAAAAAGAAAAUCAGUGCAGCAAUACAGAUGAUCACCACUACCCAACGACCAUAGGCUGACCAGGGAUAUGAAUUGGUUUGAACAAUGGUGGUUCCACUGCUCCCGUCACUGGAAUCGCCGCUGCUACUGCUGCUGCUAUCGUCAUUCAUUAUUUAACAGAAAAAGAGAAUGUGGUCUAAAAAUUUUGAAAACAAACUAAAAAGCGAGAACGAGAAUGAAAAAACACCACUAACAAUGGCAAUACUGCUGUAGAAACAGGGCUUGAAAAACACCACAAAGAUACAAAGUACAACAAGGAACACAACGAUAAUAAGGCCUCAGAACCGUUCUAACAAGAUGUAUGACCAACAAUAAUCAAAAUUGCACUGAUGCAAAUAUAGGCAAAAGAAGAGUUGGCAGUAGGGAAACACUAAUCGUUUAUGGCUCAAGUGGUUCUAUUAUUUACAAGAGGUAACGAUGUAAAAAACAAUCAGAUGUGUUUGUAUAUUUGAUUUUGAGAAAUAAGAGGAAAGCAAAACACAAAACAGAUUGGAUGAAAGAAGAAAAAAAAAAAUUGGUUUUCCUAAAGUUAGAAUAAUGCAGGUUGAUGAAGAUAAAUAAUGUGAUUUACAAACUGUGCAUCUGAGCCACCUUGUUGUCGCAUUUUACCGAAGGCGAUGGAUUAAGGUGCGUAAAGUUGGGACAAGCUAACUUAGUCGACACGGCUGACCAGCUUGGCUGGGCAGGUUUGAAAAUCUUUGUUCUAAACGUAAAAAUGCAAAGUCAUUUAUCUGUUGACUUUCAGUGUUGAUUUAACUUUGAAUAUCUGUUUCCAUUGUAAAUUUUUGGAUCGCCUGCUUGUCUUGUUUAUUGGCGCUCGAGUGUAUUCAUUAAUUAAUCACUAGCACAUAAUAGAAGAUGUAACAAAUUAUCAGAUGAAUAAGAAAUUGAAAAUACUAUAGUAACAUUGUAGUACUAUCGCAAUACAUUACAAACUUGAGACAUCAUAUUGGUGAAUUAAAAUUAAAAGCAAAUAUGCAAGUUUUGUAAUUGAAUGUAUGGACGACACACAUGUUCGAAAUUUACCAGUGUAAAUAUGAUGAAAUUGAUAUACGAAUGAACUAGCUGCUAUAUAAAUAAAUAGGAAAAGGCGGACGAAGCGAUGUAGUCAAUUAGUGGUAAUAAUAUUUAUU